rnacentral:rRNA from 1 species
CCUACGGGUGGCAGCAGUGGGGAAUAUUGGACAAUGGGGGCAACCCUGAUCCAGCCAUGCCGCGUGUGUGAAGAAGGCCCUCGGGUUGUAAAGCACUUUCAGUGAGGAAGAACGCCUGGUGGUUAAUACCCAUCAGGAAAGACAUCACUCACAGAAGAAGCACCGGCUAACUCCGUGCCAGCAGCCGCGGUAAUACGGAGGGUGCGAGCGUUAAUCGGAAUUACUGGGCGUAAAGCGCGCGUAGGUGGCUUGAUAAGCCGGUUGUGAAAGCCCCUGGCUCAACCUGGGAACGGCAUCCGGAACUGUCAAGCUAGAGUGCAGGAGAGGAAGGUAGAAUUCCCGGUGUAGCGGUGAAAUGCGUAGAGAUCGGGAGGAAUACCAGUGGCGAAGGCGGCCUUCUGGACUGACACUGACACUGAGGUGCGAAAGCGUGGGUAGCAAACAGGAUUAGAUACCCCAGUAGUC